AUGAGGGCGGAGGGUGCCGUCCUGUGUGCUGGAGGGCCUUCCGUGGCAUCCACCCGAGGCCAGGAGCAACCCUCCUUCCCUGAAGUCUUGACAACCCAAAAUGUUUCCGGGCAUUGCCAGAUGUCCCCUGGGGGCAAGACCACUGCCAGGCUGCGCAUCUCCAGGCAGGGACACGGAGCCAUGACUACAGCAGACGUCAGCUUAGAUCUUCACGCCAGCAGCUCUGGAUUGAGGAUUACCGUUAAACUGAGCUGGAACAGCCCAUGGGAAGACGGAAGAUCUGAAGCAAGACCUGUGAGGUGAAACUGUGUAUGUGUACCAUCUAAUAUGGCAAAUGUGACCACAUGGCUGUUGAGUAUUUGAAAUGUGGCUAGAUAAUGUGCCUGGGGAACUGAAUUUUUAAUUUUAAUUAACUGAAAUUCAAAUUUAAAGCCAGGUGUGGUGGCACAUCCCUGUAUACCAGUACUCCGAAGGUUGGGUCAGAAGGAUUGUUUUGAGCUCAAGGUCAACCUGGAAUACAUAGGGAGUUCAAGACCAGCUUGAACUACAUAGCAAGACCCUGUCUCAAAACAAAAAACAAAACAAAAAGAAAGAAAUUCAAAUUGAAAUAAGCAACCCAAACAAUUAUAGCCAAUUGACUUUAAUCAUGGUUCUUGAAAUAGUAUAUAGACAGAAUCAUUUUUUCAAUAAAUGAUGUUGGGACCAGUGGAUUUCCAUUAAAAGAAAAAAAAAAAACAAACGAGGCCAGGUGUGGUGGUGCACAUCUGUAAUCCCAGCACUCAGAAGGCUGAGGCAGGAGGAUUGCCCCGAGUUCAAGGCUAGCCUGAACUGCAUAGUGAAACCCUGUCUCAAAAAAACACCAAAAAAAAAAAAGAAAGAAAAAAAGAAGUUGGAUCUUGCUAUGGUCUAAAUAUUUGUGUCUCCCUGCAACUUUACAAGCUGACAAUCCCCAGUGAAGUUGUAUUAGGAAAUGGGGUAUCUGGGAGAUGAUUAGGUCAUGAGGAUGGACCUCCUCAUAAAUAGGAUUAAUGCACUCAUUAAAAAAAAUGCCAGAGAGAACUUGUUUACCCCUUUCGUUUUUCAUUUAUAUGAGGACAUAGUAGGUGUCAUGUAUGAUGACACCCCCCCAUACACCACACACACACACACUAUAUCUGUUGUUGCUUUGAUCUUUAAUGUUGGAUUUCUCAGCCUCUGGAAGGGUGAGAAACAAAUGCCUGUUGUUUAUAAAUAAAUUACCCAAUCUAGCUGGAAGUGGUAAGCACUCCUGCAAUGCCAGCACUCAGGAGGCUGAGGCAGGAGGAUCACCACAAGUCCAAGGCCAGCCUGGGCUACACAGUGAGUUCAAGGCCAGCCUGAGCUACACAAUGAGACCCUGUCUCAAAACAAAACAAAACAAAACAGAAAAAGAAAAGGAAAAAGAAAAAGAAACAAAUGUACAGUGUAAGGGGCUGUUAUAGUAGCUUGGAUGGUCUCAGACAGACCUCUACUUCACAGCACUUAUGAAAAUUAACCCAAAAUGGACCAAAGAUAAAAAUAUGAGAUAAAUCUCUCUUUGAAAAAAAUUCUGUAAAUCUUUGCAGCCUUGAGUUAGGCAAUGAUAUUUUAGAUAUGACUAAAGCACGUAAAAAGCACAAGCAAAGAAAAAAUAAAUUAGAAUAUAUCAAGAUUAAAAACAUUUGCAAGCCAGGGAUGGUGGUGAAUGCCUGUAAUUCCAGCACUCAGGAGGCUGAGGCAGGAGGAUCGUUGCAAGUUCAUGACCAGCCUAGGCUACAAAGUGAGGCCAGCUUAAACUGCAUAGCAAGACCCUGUCUCAAAAAGACAUACAUACAUACAUACAUAAAUAAAUAAAUAAAAAACAUUUGGCCUUCAGAAGAUACCAAUAAGAAACUGAAAGGACAACAAAUAGAAUGGGAGAAAAUAUUUGCAAAUUACACAUAAAGUCUGAUAUUCAGAAUACAUAAAGAAUUCUUAAAACUCAACAGUAAAAAGACAAAAAACCCACCCAAUUUAAAAAUGGGCAAAGGAUCUGAAUGCUAUUUCUUCAAACAAGAUAUUCAACUGACUAAUAAAUACAUGAAAGACGCUCUCAACAUCAUUACUACUUAGGGGAAAUGCAAAUCAAAACUAAAGGGAAAUAUCUGGAUGUAGUAUGUAUACACACAAUGGAGCACUUCUCAGUCAUAAAGACAAAUAAGUUUGAUCCAUUUGUAGGAAAAUGGGUCUAUCUGGAGACGAUAAUGCUGAGUGAAGUAAGUCAGAUGUAGAAAGUGGAAUAUUGCAUGGUUCCUCUCAUCUGCAAAACUCAAAGUACAAAUAAUUUAAAGAGCAAAAUAAAAGAAAGAUCAUAGAAAACAGAGAGGGAGACCUUUUGGAGAAAGGAAAGGAGGGGCUGGGGAUUUAGCUCAGUGGCACAGCACCUGCCUGGCAAGCACAAGGUCGUGAAUUUGAUUCCCAGUACUGGAAAAAAAAAGAACCAAAAAAAAAAGAAAGGAAAGGAUUUAAGUAUGGAGGAAGAGGGAAGGGAGGAUAGGGGAACAAGAAAUAAAAAGGGUUAAGAUGUAAUAUGUGUAUGUACCAACUCCCCAUGAUGAAUGCAUUCAUUGUCUGUCAUGAAUAUGUACUAAUAAAACACACACACAAUAAUUUUUUUUAAAAAAAAUUCCCAAGGGGAUACCACAUCACACCCAGCAGAAUGGCUGUAAUAAAAGACUUAAACAGCUGCUGUAAGGAAUGGGAAGGAAUUAGAGCCCUCAUACUCUGUCAGUGGGAAUGUAAAAUGGUACAGCUGGAAAAUGGUCUAGUCAAACAUAGAGUUUAGCAAUUCCACUCCUAGCAUACACCCAAGAGAAAUGAAAACAUAUGUGCACACAACACUUGUAUGCAAAUGCUGACAGUGACAUUACUGAUAACAGGCAAAAGAAGAAACAAAACUCCACCAAUUGAUAAGUAAAUAAACAAGGUAUGGUCUAUUGGUGCAAUGCAUU
ensembl:lincRNA